AACCUUUACAAUGCACGAAAGUGUGAUAAGGGAAUUCUACGUGCAAGCUAUGCUUGCUUUUCUCAAGUCUAAAACGCUUGGGGAAUAAGGGCUGGGCAAGACCCGUGCCAGCCGCCGCGGUAACACGGGCAGCUCUAGUAGCGUUCGCGAAUAUUGGACCUAAAGCGUACGUAGCCUGUUAAGUAAGUUUCUGGUGAAAGCAUGCGACUUAAUCGUGUGAGUUGCCAGGAAAACUACUUUGACUUGGGACCGGGAAGGGUCGGAGGUAUUUCUGGGGUAGGGGUAAAAUCCAAUAAUCCUAGAAGGACCAUCGGUGGCGAAGGCGUCCGACUGGAACGGGUCCGACGGUGAGGUACGAAAGCUAGGGGAGCGACCGGGAUUAGAUACCCCGUUAGUCCUAGCCGUAAAUGAUGCAAGUUUGGUAUUGCAAUCCUUACGAGGGAUUGCAGUGCCGUAGGGAAGCCGUUAAACUUGCCGCCUGGGAGUACGACCGCAAGGU
rnacentral:rRNA from 1 species